ensembl:lincRNA
AUGAGACACAUGACUCUCCUCCUCCUGACAGCUCUGGUCGGGACCCUGGUCUCUGCCCAAAAUGCUUCCUCUGCUCUUACCAAGGAACCCUUCAUCACCCCAGCAACCCAGAAGAUUUCGACAGCACCUCCCAGCUCAGGAUUCAACCCACUGCAACUCGGGUUAGAUAAAGGUCUCUCGGCAGCCCAGGGAGUAAGAAGAAAAAUACAAGAAAAAAUUGAAGAAGGAAAGAAAAUCUUCGAAGGUGAGUGCAUACCAACUCAAAAGUCUUGUGAAACUGAGAAGACUCACCACUUGCCAGGGGUGGGAGGUGGACUGGAUAUUGUCACCUGCCCCCAAAACCUGAGUCCUGGGAAUGUCACCACGCCUCCGCACUGAAGCUGCCCCCAUGCUAGGCCUUCACAUGCCUCCAGCCUCUCACCCACAUUCAAACCGCCUGAUAUCAGCUUCCCCCUGGGGUCUGACUGCCAGACUUCCCACUGCACUGCCUCCUACUCUUCCUCUUGCUCCUGCCCAGGUCGGGGCGGGGUCAGGGAUGGGCAGGUCCUUCGGCCUCUGCUGUCCCUAACCUCCACCCCAGAUUCCUGGGUAAGGCCCUCCAAGGGCUCAGCGAGGCUAGGAAGCAGGAGAUGGAGUGGAGGAGGGUGGAGAGGGUGGAGCUGGUGCCCAGGACCCCUCAAACCUCAUUCUCAUCUCCACUUUCUUCUAGAGGGGACUGAACUGGCACAAAGCCUAAGGAAAAAAUUCAUUCCAGUAACAUUGUUUCCUCGUUUUUUGAGAAGCUGAAGAAAUUGAGUCUCUGGACUUAACACCUUAAACAUACUUGUAGCCCAUAGCAAUUAAAGUGAAAGCAUCCAACUUGCCCUUGCCAGUGCUCUGUGGGGUGGGCCCUAGGGCAGAGGCGGAGCAAAGCCCGACGUGACCCAAGCUCCCAGUCUGUCUCUGCCUGCCUUGGGGACACAGCCUGUGAUGAGCCCCUUCAUCCCCCCUGAGCCAGAGUUACACGCACUGGGCCUCAUGCGAGCACAAACACCACUCCAGUUCUGGUCUGCCUCCUCGCUCUUCACUCAUGGCUCCCAGUGACAUCUGAGCAUUUCUAAAACCUCAGCCAGCCUCCAGAGAAGCAGGAUUUAUCAUCCUGAAAAAUAAUCGAAGCCCGAACCAUUGCUGUUACAGCUAUGUUCUGGCACUGUUAUCAAAAAACGCAUCUCCCCUGCCGUACAUUCGUACUUUGUACACUGGACCAAUGGCCAGUUAGGUCAGACCAGUUAAAUAAUGAGCUGCUGCAGCAAAGGCUUGAGCAAAAAGGCCAACUGAAUCCAUCACGAUUACCCACGUGCUCAUCCUGUGUCUCCUCCUUCCCUGCAUUGCAGUCCAAGGCUGCCCGUCACAGACGGACAGGAAAAGACACGCAUGACUGCAGAAGGAGAACCAUCAGCUCUCCUCCCGCCUGCGCUCUCCCAAAGCCCAGUCCAUAGCACAUCUGGGAUCUAACACCCCCAGAGCCGCUGAUUCUAGACUAACCUUCUCCCCCGCCAUCAGGUUCCCUCCCCUGCUAUCCUGGGCAUGAGGGGCAUUCAACCCAGACCUUGUUGCUUUUGAUUUUGUCUUGUUUGGGGUUUCUGCCACAUUGAGUCUUCAUUGCUGUGUGUUGGCUCUCUCUAGUUGCAGUGAGCAGGGGCUACUCUCUAGCUGCAGUGCUCAGGCUUAGCUGCUCUGAGGCAUGUGGGAUCUUCCUGGACCAGGGGUCAAACUCGUGUUCCCUGCAUUGGCAGACAGAUUCUUAUCCACUGUACCAUCAGGGACAUUCUAGACCCUGUUUUCAGUGAAUCAAGCAAUAUAUUCUCCUAUUCAGCCCUCCUACCUCCACCGCAGAUCCUCCUUUUCCAAGAACACUGCCAAGGAAACAGAGGGGGACACUCAGGAACAGGCACCCUUGGAGCACCCACUAUGAUCAACACUGGGUGCCCAAGGCACGUCACACUCGAGUAGCCUACACCUUGUACCUGGGUUAAACUGUUCCCCCAAAAGGCCUGUUGAAGUCCUAAUCCCUGGCCCCUCAGAAAGUGACCUUAUUUGGAAACUGGAUCCUUGCAGAUGUAGUUAGUUAACCUCCUACUGGAGUAAGGUGAAUCCCCAAACCAAAAUGACCAUUGUCCUUAUAAGAAGGGAGGAAUUUGGACACGGAGACACACAGAGGAAAGACAACGUGAAGACACACAGGAUAGACAGUCGAGUGGAGACAGGCAGGGGCUGAGUGAUGCCUCAGAAGACAAGGGAGGCCAGGAAUCCCCAGCAGACACCAGAAGCUCCGAGAGGCCACAAGAAAGGAGUCUCCUGGGACUGCCCCGGUGGCCUGUGUUCCCAGUCCCUGGUCAGGGAACUAAGAUCCCCUAAGCCACGCACCCGAAAAAGAAAAAAGAAGAAAGGAGUCGCCUGUACAGGUUUUGGAGGGAACAUGGCCCUGAUAACACCUUGAUUUCAGACUUUUAGCUUCCAGAACUGUGAGACAAUAAAUUUAUGUUGUUUUAAGUCAUCCAGUUUAUGGUAUUUUAUUAUGGCCACCCUAAGAAACUAACACGCAACACCAUUCUCGGAUUCAUCCACCACCAGGCUCCUCACCUACUACCCAAACUUUCAGAUCCUAUGACCACCAUCACCUGUUUCUCCCACCUCCCAGCCCCUGGUAACCACAGUCUACUUUGCUUUAUGCAGUUUCGUUUUAGAUUCCCCAUCUGAGAUCACACUGAAUUUGCCUUUCUCUGUCAGAUUGAUUUCAUAGCAUAAUGCCCUCAAAAUCUAUCCAAGCUGAUGCAAACGGCAGUAUUUCCUUUUUUUCUCAUGGCUGAAUAAUAUUCAUA